CAUCUACUCCCUCCGUUCCAAAUUAAUCAUCGCAGAAAUGGAUGUAUCUAAAACUAAAAUAUAUCUAGAUACAUUCAUACUUGUGGUAAGUAAUUCGGAACGGAGGAAGUAGGUA
rfam:Triticum aestivum genome assembly, contig: Triticum_aestivum_CS42_TGACv1_scaffold_095222_2AL